AAAGCAAGCCGUCUUAUCGCUGCUCUGCUCCGGCAGAGGAGAGGAAAGUCCGGGCAACACAGAGCAUCGUACUUCCUAACGGGAAGGCAUUCUGGCAACGGAAUGACAGAUAGUGCCACAGAAAAUUACCGCCUUUGUAAUGAGUACUGAUUAAUGCAUAAUGACUACCUAAAAAUAUUCAUUUAUCAUUCUUUAUUAUUCAUUAUAAAAGUAAGGGUGAAAAGGUGCGGUAAGAGCGCACCGCCUGGCUGGCGACAGGCAGGGCAUAGGUAAACCUUACGAGUUGAAAGACCAAAUAGGCUGGCAUAGCAAUGGUUAGUGAUUAAUAAAUAAUGAGUAGUCAUUAAUGUUUCUUCAUUAGUCAUUGCUAAAGGGCUGCUCGCUCUUGGCCAGCGGGUAGGUUGAUGGAGUGCAGCUGUGAAGCUGUGCCUAGAUAAAUGAUAAGACCUUUUGCAAAAAAGGACAGAACCCGGCUUACAGGCUUGCUUUUUAU
rnacentral:RNase_P_RNA from 1 species